AUUGAACGCUGGCGGCAGGCUUAACACAUGCAAGUCGAGCGGUAACAGAGAGAAGCUUGCUUCUCUGCUGACGAGCGGCGGACGGGUGAGUAAUGCCUAGGAAUCUGCCUAGUAGUGGGGGAUAACUUGCCGAAAGGUAAGCUAAUACCGCAUACGUCCUACGGGAGAAAGGAGGGGACCUUCGGGCCUUUCGCUAUUAGAUGAGCCUAGGUCGGAUUAGUCAGUUGGUGAGGUAAUGGCUCACCAAGACCGCGAUCCGUAACUGGUCUGAGAGGAUGAUCAGUCACACUGGAACUGAGACACGGUCCAGACUCCUACGGGAGGCAGCAGUAGGGAAUAUUGGACAAUGGGGGGAACCCUGAUCCAGCCAUGCCGCGUGUGUGAAGAAGGUCUUAGGAUUGUAAAGCACUUUAAGUUGGGAGGAAGAGCAGUUAACUAAUAUUUGACUGUUUUGACGUUACCGACAGAAUAAGCACCGGCUAACUUCGUGCCAGCCGCCGCGGUAA
rnacentral:rRNA from 1 species